AUUGAACGCUGGCGGCAUGCCUUACACAUGCAAGUCGAACGGCAGCACGGGAGCAAUCCUGGUGGCGAGUGGCGAACGGGUGAGUAAUAUAUCGGAACGUGCCCAGUCGUGGGGAUAACGUAGCGAAAGCUACGCUAAUACCGCAUACGAUCUAUGGAUGAAAGCGGGGGAUCGCAAGACCUCGCGCGAUUGGAGCGGCCGAUAUCAGAUUAGGUAGUUGGUGAGGUAAAGGCUCACCAAGCCGACGAUCUGUAGCUGGUCUGAGAGGACGACCAGCCACACUGGGACUGAGACACGGUCCAGACUCCUACGGGAGGCAGCAGUGGGAAUUUUGGACAAUGGGCGCAAGCCUGAUCCAGCAAUGCCGCGUGCAGGACUGAAGGCCUUCGG
rnacentral:rRNA from 1 species